rnacentral:ncRNA from 2 species
UUAUGAUAAGGAAGCAAUGAGUAAACAAUCUUAUGUGGGCACUUGAUUGUUUAAGAGCUAAUAGUGCAACCGACCUUUUUUAU